rnacentral:lncRNA from 1 species
UGCAACAAUUAACUCCAUAAGAGUUGUCCACUCCUAAAGUUGAACUGAAAACAUCAAAGUCGAUCUACAGUCUACGGAUGUGAUACCAAUACAAACUCCAAUCAUUCAUCUUCUUAACGUUCUCACACCAAUUUCUCUGGACAUUUAUGCCAAUCCCCAUUUGCUUCCCCAAAAAUAUAUUUGUUUCUCCUUCACCAUCUGGUCUCAAUUCCAGAUUUCAUUUGCCACUGUCAUACAGAUACCCUACAGUUGCAGUCACCCAAUCGCCAUUCGGCUUUCGAGCUUCAGAUUCCAGUCGGAGCUCCUCAUCUUCUCUCAAAUGUAAGUAAAAAUAAAGACAACAUUGCAAGAUUUUUUUUUUUUUAAAAUUAUGAAAGGGAAUCUAUUCAUUGUUUGGAGGGUGAUUUUAUGAUUUCAUGCUCUUCAGUUUUUAGCUUGAUUGACUUGCUGUAGUUUUGAUUUGAUUGAUGUUUAUUGUUUCGAUUUCGUGUUGGAAGGUAGACGUUGUUUCCCCAUACUAAUUUAUAAUGCAGAAUUUUUAUUUUUUCUGUUAUUAGCCCAGACAUUUCACUAGCUCCUGUUCUUCUUUACAUUUUUUUGUUGUGAUUUUACGGAAGAUUUUGUUGAAAUAUCGAGAACUUGAACAUAAAAUAUGUUACGAAGAAUACUGAAUAAAUGGCAGGAGUGUGAAGAACUCGGUUUUUUUCUUCAUUAACAACCUAAAAAUAUGAAGCGUUAAUCUUGCUCAUAAAGAAAGCAAGAAAAACUCCCACCAUGGCAAACUUUGAAAACUGAUCUAAUUUAUUAAAACUCUUACUGAUUAUAAAAUAAUAAUAAUAAAGAAAGAUAAAAAUGAUGGCCAUUAAGCCAUAUCCUCCACUACACCCAAUAACAUCUGUAUAUCUAUGAUAAUUUCAAGUAUCUGCAGCGUUCUUUUGUGACAUUGAAAGAUACAAUGAAAACAAUAGUUGAUAGAGAGGUCUUGGUAACAAUAGACACUAUUAAUGAAGAAUUAAAGGUAAAAUAUUGGUCAUAAAACAAUCUAAGUUUUGGAUAAUCUGUAAAUUUUGAGAGCUUUUAUAUUAUUACAGGCACCUAAAAGAAAAAAUUGGAGUCAUAUUAUAUACGUAGACUAAAGAUGGUGUAAUGUGUACCUGUGUGCUUUUUAGUGCCCUAAGAAAAGGGGAAAAAGUGCUUCAUUUCUUUGUUGCAAGUGCAAUGUACAUUAAAUGAGUUAUCUACGUUAUGGAUGAGGAAAAAUUCAUGUACUGAAUCUUCAGCACAGGUCUACCAAAACCUUGGUUGUUUUAUUUUUCCUACUAUGAAGGGAAAAAUCUAAGUCAAAGUCGACCACUUAUUACAUUCUGUGUACCACAUAUUUUCAAAUGUCAAAAAUUAGAGAUAUAAAACCGUACAUACAUGAAAAUGAUAACUAUAUCCAUUUAGUUGAGCUCACAAAGCUAGCAACGAUAUAUCUUUCUUUUUUUUGGUGGAUGAGCAUAAUAUAUAUCUUUAUCAAUUUCAUUCGGACCUUUUUUUCUCUCUCACUAUUUCUAUGGCCUAAAUAUUUGUCUGUUUUCAGACAUUUAAACACUAAGGAGUUCUUGAUUAUCAGUAAAAGAUGGAACUACUUAUCCCUCUAAAAGACAUCCUGAAAGUUUCAUCAAGUUUCCGGAAAUAAGUGAUAUUUGAUCUGUACAAUUUCAUUUUCUGAAGAAGUUUGUUAGGACCAUG